rnacentral:rRNA from 1 species
UACGUAGGUGGCAAGCGUUGUCCGGAAUUAUUGGGCGUAAAGCGCGCGCAGGCGGUCCUUUAAGUCUGAUGUGAAAGCCCACGGCUCAACCGUGGAGGGUCAUUGGAAACUGGGGGGACUUGAGUACAGAAGAGAAGAGUGGAAUUCCACGUGUAGCGGUGAAAUGCGUAGAGAUGUGGAGGAACACCAGUGGCGAAGGCGACUCUUUGGUCUGUAACUGACGCUGAGGCGCGAAAGCGUGGGGAGCGAACAGG